AUCGAACGCACCCUUUCACCUGUCCUGUGCAUGGCGGCCCAUUUGAGCUGCAUGCAUGGACACAUAUGCUAAUAAAGGACUCUUAUCGCGUCGCUGCUGCUUCCUAAUUGCACGUUUGCAAACUUUCUUAUGCUACUAUGCAUCGGGUCAGCCGCACAGGUGUAGCCUACUUCAAACCGGAAGAGCUGCUUGGACCCAACUCUUUCCUUCCUGAUGAGAAUAUUCCAUCUUCUUAAAGACGGCGCUGUGCAGGCCCACUGCUGCUGACCUUCUCUGCUGGGAUUCAGCUCCAGCAGUUACUCUUGAAAUCCUCUCUUUAUACUCCAACAGCAGCAGUCCUGUGACCAUUAAUGAGUUGGAAAUG